rnacentral:rRNA from 1 species
CCUACGGGAGGCAGCAGUGGGGAAUAUUGGACAAUGGGCGCAAGCCUGAUCCAGCCAUGCCGCGUGAGUGAUGAAGGCCUUAGGGUUGUAAAACUCUUUUGCCAGGGAAGAUAAUGACUGUACCUGGAGAAUAAGCCCCGGCUAACUUCGUGCCAGCAGCCGCGGUAAUACGAAGGGGGCUAGCGUUGUUCGGAAUCACUGGGCGUAAAGCGCACGUAGGCGGACUUUUAAGUCAGGGGUGAAAGCCUGAGGCUCAACCUCAGAACUGCCCUUGAUACUGGGAGUCUUGAGUAUGGUAGAGGUUGGUGGAACAGCAAGUGUAGAGGUGAAAUUCGUAGAUAUUUGCUAGAACACCAGUGGCGAAGGCGGCCAACUGGACCAUAACUGACGCUGAGGUGCGAAAGCGUGGGGAGCAAACAGGAUUAGAUACCCUGGUAGUCCACGCCGUAAACGAUGGAUGCUAGCCGUUAGCCAGCUUGCUGGGUAGUGGCGCAGGUAACCCUUUAAGCAUCCCGCCUGGGGAGUACGGUCGCAAGAUUAAAACUCAAAUGAAUUGACGG